AGUGAACGCUGGCGGCAGGCCUAAUACAUGCAAGUCGAACGGCAGCACAGUGGAGCUUGCUCCAUGGGUGGCGAGUGGCGGACGGGUGAGGAAUACAUGGGAAUCUGCCCAGUCGUGGGGGAUAACGUAUGGAAACGUACGCUAAUACCGCAUGCGCCCUUCGGGGGAAAGUCGGGGACCGCAAGGCCUGACGCGAUUGGAUGAGCCCAUGUUCGAUUAGCUAGUUGGCGGGGUAACGGCCCACCAAGGCGACGAUCGAUAGCUGGUCUGAGAGGAUGAUCAGCCACACUGGAACUGAGACACGGUCCAGACUCCUACGGGAGGCAGGCAGUAGGGAAUAUUGGACAAUGGGCGCAAGCCUGAUCCAGCCAUGCCGCGUGAGUGAAGAAGGCCCUCGGG
rnacentral:rRNA from 1 species